rnacentral:tRNA from 1 species
GCUCUCGUCGUUCAACGGAUAGGAUGAGCCCCUCCGAAGGGCUUGAUGCCGGUUCGAUUCCGGCCGAGAGCA